CAGCCGCCGCGGGAAUACAGAGGGUGCGAGCGUUAAUCGGAUUUACUGGGCGUAAAGCGUGCGUAGGCGGCUUCUUAAGUCGGAUGUGAAAUCCCUGAGCUUAACUUAGGAAUUGCAUUCGAUACUGGGAAGCUAGAGUAUGGGAGAGGAUGGUAGAAUUCCAGGUGUAGCGGUGAAAUGCGUAGAGAUCUGGAGGAAUACCGAUGGCGAAGGCAGCCAUCUGGCCUAAUACUGACGCUGAGGUACGAAAGCAUGGGGAGCAAACAGGAUUAGAUCCCCCGUAGUCCCUGUCUCUUAUACA
rnacentral:rRNA from 1 species